rnacentral:lncRNA from 1 species
AACUUAGUAAUUUUAAUAUCACAUAAUUUGCAGGUUCUUCAUCUUGAAGAAUUUAUUUGAACAUUAUUUCAUUAAAUUAAAAUAAUAAACAAAAACUGUACAGUUUGAUCAUAGCACUUAAAUACAAUUAAGGCAAACAAACAAAACAAAAAAACAAGUGACAUUUUAGUAUAAGUGAUCUCCAAUAUGGAGAGGAGAUUCGUACUACCUGUGUUUUUAAUUAUAAUAAUAUAUUCAUAUACCGUGCACUAUCUAUGACAGGAAAGAAAGGAAAGAUUGUUCAAGUGAAACUAGAAAGAAAAGCAAUAAUAUUUUUGGGGGUUAUUUCUAUCAAAUUUUAAAGUUUUGUACAUCAACUCUAUCACACAGCACAUGCCUCACAACAAUAUAGAAUUAAAAACAUAGUUUUUGUGUUAUAAUUACAAUAUGUUCAAGCAUAAGAAAUUUGCUUUCAUACAACAAUAAAGAAGCAUAUGAAAGAAAAAACAAAUUCAAAACAUAAGUGUAAAUAUAAUAGGAUUUAUUUUUUCCAUCAUACACUGAGCUUAUCAUUUAAAAUUCUAAUGCAACAACGUUUGUAACGUUCAUUU